GGGGCACAGGCUUGCUGGUGGCAUCCCGCACAGACACUCUCUCCUCACAGCUCCCACCACGGGGACUGGAGGCAGGAGGAGCCGACGGGCCCCUGGAACGGCCGCGGUGCGUCCCGAGGUGGGAGCCGCAAGCCCGAGGCUCGGCCGAGUCCCAGGGGACCCUAACGGAGGCCGGGCUGGAAGGCCAAGGUGGCUGCCACGUGGGAAGGUAUCCUUGACGUCCAGACGUGAUGCUACUGCAGACAUAAGAGACUACGGCACAGCUAGCAUGAAGCCAGCUUUUCCAUGCACUGGAACCAGCCAGUACUCACCAGGUUGAGCUGGUCUGGAGCUGAACCCAGCUUCUCCGAGGUCUGCCCGUGGUAGAUGCUCCUUAUCCGUUUCCCUGAAGCGACCAAGCACAGCACGAGAGCCCAAGGCCCCCAUGCAGAUAAUGGACAAAGGCAGGACUUUCGUGUUAGUGGCCCACCUUCCUCUUCCUCGACGGUGGCUCCAGCCCCUUCAUGUUGCCUCCAAGCUCCUGCCCAAGUGUUCCCACCCGCACUGCUGGGAGCAGCUCCUCUGUGUUUUCAGGGCCACUUUGCUGUCGUCCUUUGAAGGUUCUCUUGGCGACUCUAGGAAGACUCCGUGGUACAGGUGACCUUCUGUAUCUGUGGAGGAUCGGUUCCCAGAUACCCCCGCCCACGGAUCCCAAAAUCCCAGGAGCCAAGCCUUGUCUAAAGUGCCGGAGUGCAGCCUGGCCUCCAGAACGCGUGAGAACAGAGCAGCCGUACUCUGUUUCCAACGAGCCGAUGGCCAAAGCCCCGCCGUGCGUGUUCUCUAUGGACUGAACAGCCAGUGGCCCUGUAGCAGUGAAGCCUCACACCGUCCUCCAGGCUGGAAGGGACCCUUGAGUCACAGAACUUGCCAGUUUGCAAACAUGUCUCUAGUUGUAACAACUUUCAUCUGUCAAAUGAGGGCUCUUCAUUUCUAAGGUUCUAGAAGCCGGCCGUGGUCAUUUAGUCCCUCAGCUGGGUGUACUGAAAUCUGGGCCAGAGGCACAGCUUCCUCGCUAAGACACCCCCCCACCCCAGCACCCUGCACACACACACAGGCAGAGGCCAAGCUGCCUGCCUCCCCGCACCCCCUAGAAUGCUGACCACUGGGGACCGAGGGGCAGUUCCUACCUUUUACAUCCUUACAUACUGAAUCUGGCGCUGGCUCCUGGGCUGCAUCUUCUUAACUGCAAACACUCUAUACCAUCCCUCUCUGGUUCCACCAGCCACCACCCUCCUUCCGUGUCCUCCUCUGAACGUGCCUGAUAAAGGCUUUUGAGUGACUGAAUGAGUGGACGGCUCCCAUCUUCUGUCAUCUCAAUGAGUGCUGCUCCCCAGCUGACUGGAACCAGACGCCCUAGUUCCCAGGCUGGGUUUCCCUCCAGAUGUGUUCUCCUGCGGUGUCGGUUCCACCGUUAAACAGCUGUAUCGCUCAGCAGGUACGCAACGUUGAUGCGCCUCCAUUUCCUCCUCUGCAGAAUUGUGGGCGUUCCUGUCGUGGCUCAGCAGAAUCCGGCUUGUAUCCACGAGGAUGCGGGUUCUAUCCCUGGCCUCGCUCGGUGAAUCUGGGAUCCAGCCUUGCCGUGAGCUGUGGUGUAGGCCGGAAGCUGUAGCUCCAAUUUGACCCCUAGCCUGGAAACUUCCAUAUGCUGAGGGUUCGGCCUUAAAAACAACAACAACAACAAAAUAGUACUUACGUCAUAGGGUUGCUGUCAGCAUUAAAUGAGAGAGUCUGUUAAAAACGCCGAGAACAUUGCCUGGCAAUAUACAUUGCAGAAUACUCAAUAAAUAUUAGCUGGUGUUAUUUCAUACUUCAUCAAACACAACCUUCGUCACACAUCGCUGUGCUUCUUAUUUAAUUUGUUGACUUUCCAAAAAGACUGUAAGCUCACGUCUGCCGUGGUCUUAUCCCCAGCGUGGUGGUCUGGCAGGUGGUCAGGGGUCGAUACAGGUCUAAAUGCACCCCCGCGAGAAUGGGCGCGCUGAGGGCGGACACGAAUUUCUUCCACCUGUGACAUUUCAAAGAAUGGUUGAAACUGGUGCCUCUAUAACAUUUGAGAAGCAGACAGGAGACGCUAUUGCCAAGUGGCUACGUGCGCAGAGGGCGAAGCCAGAGGGGAUGAAUUGGAAGCCCAACUCCACGCUCAGCAGAACGUGACCGUACAUCAGCCAGCUUCUGUGCCUCUGUUUCCUCGUCUGUGAAAUGGGAAGGACGAUAAUAGCACCAACCUCGGAGGGUUUUCAGGAAGCUUGAAUGAGUUCAUGUUUGGAAGGUCGUCGGCAUCACGUAAGUGCUAGCUGCCAUCUGCGCCAUUGGUAAGGACAUGACACAAAGAAGACUUGAGAGAGGAAAAAGCCACCAUGGCUGGAAGGCAGGGCUCAGAACAGGCCUGGGGCCAGGCCAGGAGGGUCCUGCACCAUUGACCUAUGGUCAGAGUAUUUUUGGUUCACAUGGUCCAGGCCACUCUUGAGGGCAGGGGCUUGGGGGGCGGGGAUUCUAGAAGCCUGAUUUGCACUGCCCUGCCCCCCAGCUCUCAGCACAAACCCUGCCCCCAGGGAGGGAAGACGCAUCCCGGCCCAGCCCUGCUGCUCCUCGGGGGCCUGUUGAGGUCGCGGCCACUCCUCCCACCCCGCCAGCUCCCCCUGAUGGACUUUGUCAUCACCACGUGGUUCAGGGACCCUCCAGACCCCCGGGGUGGCUGUCCUCUUCUCCGCUGCUGCGCCUCCAAGCCCGGGCCUCAGAGGAGCCCGGCUGCCACAGGACAGCCACCUCCUCCCUGGGCCUCACCGUCACUGACCCAAAAAUGGGUCAGAUUUGCUCAAGAUUCAUGACUUUUACAUAACGCUGCUGUUAAACACAGGUGUGCCUAAUUAAACGAUUUGAAUAAGAUGCUAAUAAAUGAACCCACUGCCUUGCGAUGGCCAAGCUCUCACUUCAGGAUCGCAACACGAGUGCAGAUACGAAUGCCUGGCUGGCGACGGGUUAAAGAAGUCGGUAUCGGCAGGGCUUUCAGGAAGGAUCCAGAGCGUGGUCCACGAGGUUCCUCAACUGAUGGGGCAGCAGGGACAGCUUCCCUCACCGGUGCCCGCUCACUGCCUGAUGGGGGGCAGAGUCCAUCCAGGCAACACACAAUUUCAAAAAUGUGUUUAUCUUCUUCUUCUUUUUUCUUUUUGUGGCCACACCAGUGGCCUAGGGAAGUUCCCGGGCUAGGGGUCGAAUCGGAGCUGCAGCUGCCGGCCUGCUCCACAGCCACAGCAGCUGGAAUCCAAAUCUCGUCUGUGACCCACACCACAGCUCAGGGCGACGUCGGAUCCUUAACCCACUGAGCGAGGCCGGGGAUCGAACCUGGGUCCUCGUGCACACUAGUCGGGGUCUUAACCCUCUGACUCGCAAUGGGAACUCCUAAAACGUUUUCUGACGGGGAUGCAGUCCCCCUUUAGACUGGCAUGCCGCGGCAUAAAGGCGGAAAUGCAGCUUCCUUCGUUCCACGCAGGGCCUCGCUCUCUGGACAGAGGCGGGAGGUGGGACAGGCAGACGGGAACCUCUGGGCUCGUGGCGAGAUUAUCCUGGAAGAGAAGACCGUUCAAACCGCUUGAAGCCCAUUGGGAUCCAAAGUAAGCGGCUUCACAAUCAGCCAAAGAUAAAAUGUUUUGAAAAGCACUGAAACUUCCUAUAGUGAGGGGUUAACUCCGUGGAGGCGUCUGGCCGCGUGGAGAGGGGCCUGGCGAGCAGAGCUGAGCGGCCGGCAGGAAGGGAAGAGGCUGCCUCCCGCCGGGGGCACACAGCCCACAGGCCUCCUGCGCGUGCUGGCCAGUGAUCGGCCAGGAAGGAUGACAGCGUGGCAGCAAGAGGCCACCGCGUGCUCCGAGGGGCUUCAGAUCCCUCCGUGCCUCUUGGUUUGACCCUGGCUUCUUGACUCCUCAUGCUCCCCAGCACUACCAUGGACCAGACCUUCUAGGACCAACCCUAUUCCGCUUCCUCCAACCUCCUCUUGGCCAUGAACUCAGAAGCCAAGGACCCCGCCGACAUCCUGCUGCGGAUGGAUGGCUCGCACCGGCUGGGACCCCAGGUUUUCCUGUUACGUGUCACCGAAGCCUCUCACAAGCCCUGGAAACAUCAUCAGGCACAGGAAGUUCUCAGCAAGAAUCUGAUUUUGGUUCUCCGUGACUCCCCCUCAGGGAUUAGUCUUUGUAGUACAGUUUCCAGAGUUCCCGCUGUGGCUCAGUUGGAAGGAACCCGACGAGUAGCCGUGAGAACACGGGUUCAAUCCCUAGCCUCGCUCAGUGGGUUAAGGAUCCAGUGCUGCUGUGAGCUGUGUGUAGCUCGGAUCUGGCAUGGCUGUGGCUGUGGCCUGGCAGCUGCAGCUCCGAUUCAACCCCUAGCCCAGGAACUUCCAUAUGUCGCAGGUGCAGUCCUAAAAAGAAAAAAAAAAAAAAA
rnacentral:lncRNA from 1 species